rnacentral:lncRNA from 1 species
CCGCCGAGGGAAGGCAGCCGCCUACAACUCCCAGGAGCACCGAGGGAGGUGGAGCGGGAGGGAGGCGCCUGCCCCUUCCGCGCCGCUCUGCCCGCCGGGAGUUGUGGUCCUGCCGCCGUUGUGGCCGCUCCGUGGAGGCUGGCACGGGACUCGGUGUCCCGGCGCGCCGCGGGCCGUGGGCGGAGGGGCCGAGGUGGGAAAGGCGGCAAGGCCGGCAGCUGCUGUGGACGGUGUUGGGGCUGUGCGGUGUUUGUUGGGGGUGGAAGUGCUGAGAUCUUUGGUGGCUUUAACUGACCCUCAGGAGGGGAAGCUGACUCAGUCUCAAGAGAAAGCACUAAACUGGCUGUGCAUUUGGAAAACUAUAUUUAGAGUUGUUCCUGGGCCUACAUCAAAGACCUC